AGAAUCAACGCUGGCGGCGUGCCUAACACAUGCAAGUCGAACGAGAAAGGGGUAGCAAUACCCUGAGUAAAGUGGCGCACGGGUGAGUAACACGUGACUAACCUACCCUUGAGUGGGGGAUAACUGAGGGAAACCUUAGCUAAUACCGCAUAAUACCCACGGGUCAAAGGAGCAAUUCGCUCGAGGAGGGGUCGCGGCCGAUUAGUUAGUUGGCGGGGUAAUGGCCCACCAAGACGAUGAUCGGUAUCCGGCCUGAGAGGGCGCACGGACACACUGGAACUGAAACACGGUCCAGACUCCUACGGGAGGCAGCAGUGGGGAAUUUUGCGCAAUGGGGGAACCCUGACGCAGCAACGCCGCGUGGAGGAUGAAGUCCCUUGGGACGUAAACUCCUUUCGAUCGGGACGAUUAUGACGGUACCGGAAGAAGAAGCCCCGGCUAACUUCGCGCCAGCAGCCGC
rnacentral:rRNA from 1 species